UUUGUUUUCGUACGUAUUCAUAAUUUCAAUAGGGCUUAUGAAUCGUGCAUGCCACCUACGGACGGUAGGUGGUAUUUUUAGAGGAUUUUAAUU
rfam:Drosophila sechellia strain Rob3c scaffold_18 genomic scaffold, whole genome shotgun sequence.